AACGAACGCUGGCGGCAUGCCUAACACAUGCCAGUCGAACGAGACCUUCGGGUCUAGUGGCGCACGGGUGCGUAACGCGUGGGAACCUGCCCUUAGGUUCGGAAUAACUCCCCGAAAGGGGUGCUAAUACCGGAUAAUGUCUUCGGACCAAAGAUUUAUCGCCUUUGGAUGGGCCCGCGUUGGAUUAGCUAGUUGGUAGGGUAAAAGCCUACCAAGGCGAGGAUCCAUAGCUGGUCGGAGAGGAUGAUCAGCCACACUGGGACUGAGACACGGCCCAGACUCGUACGGGAGGGAGCAGUGGGGAAUAUUGGACAAUGGGCGAAGGCCUGAUCCAGCAAUGCCGGGUGAGAGAUGAAGGCCUUAGGGUUGUAAAGCUCUUUUACCCGGGAUGAUAAUGACAGUACCGGGAGAAUAAGCACCGGCUAACUCCGUG
rnacentral:rRNA from 1 species